ACGCAUGCAGUCGAGCGGCAGCGACAACAUUGAACCUUCGGGGGAUCUGUUGGGCGGCGAGCGGCGGACGGGUGAGUAAUGCCUGGGAAAUUGCCCUGAUGUGGGGGAUAACCAUUGGAAACGAUGGCUAAUACCGCAUGAUAGCUUCGGCUCAAAGAGGGGGACCUUCGGGCCUCUCGCGUCAGGAUAUGCCCAGGUGGGAUUAGCUAGUUGGUGAGGUAAGGGCUCACCAAGGCGACGAUCCCUAGCUGGUCUGAGAGGAUGAUCAGCCACACUGGAACUGAGACACGGUCCAGACUCCUACGGGAGGCAGCAGUGGGGAAUAUUGCACAAUGGGCGCAAGCCUGAUGCAGCCAUGCCGCGUGUAUGAAGAAGGCCUUCGGGUUGUAAAGUACUUUCAGCAGUGAGGAAGGGAGUAUCGUUAAUAGCGGUAUUCUUUGACGUUAGCUGCAGAAGAAGCACCGGCUAACUCCGUGCCAGCAGCCGCGGUAAUACGGAGGGUGCGAGCGUUAAUCGGAAUUACUGGGCGUAAAGCGCAUGCAGGUGGUUUGUUAAGUCAGAUGUGAAAGCCCGGGGCUCAACCUCGGAAUUGCAUUUGAAACUGGCAGGCUAGAGUACUGUAGAGGGGGGUAGAAUUUCAUGUGUAGCGGUGAAAUGCGUAGA
rnacentral:rRNA from 1 species